rnacentral:rRNA from 1 species
AUAACGACUCUCGGCAACGGAUAUCUCGGCUCUCGCAUCGAUGAAGAACGUAGCAAAAUGCGAUACUUGGUGUGAAUUGCAGAAUCCCGUGAACCAUCGAGUCUUUGAACGCAAGUUGCGCCCAAAGCCUUCUGGUCGAGGGCACGUCUGCCUGGGUGUCACGC